rnacentral:lncRNA from 1 species
CUUCGGUGCGCGUGCUGGAGAGCGGCAGGAGCUCGGCCUUCUUAGGGUGUUUGGGACCCCAUCCAGCGUGGUUUUGCUUUAGUUCCCCGCCCAGGGAGAGGAGCUCGGCAAGCAGCACCGGGUUUAUUCUUGCUCAUUUAUUCAAAAGAAAGGUACUGAGUUUGAAAAUGCACCAAGCACUGGAGAGAAGAGAAAGGUGAAAGGACCUCGGGGCCUGCCUGUAAGAGGCUCAGGAUGUGAUGUGGCUGGGGAUGAGGCCCGGUGGCACCUUCAACGCAGGAGAGGAGGGGGUCUGGAUCCCACCGUCAGAGCACGCACGCAACCUGUCCACUCCCUCAGGACUGCAGAAAAGGUCCAUUCUUGUAUUUCUUUUUAAGUUGAAUUAAAUCCAUCUCUAGCCCCUGCCUCUGAACUGAUGGAGUCUGGCUGUCAUUGGGCCUCCCUCACCCGCAAGGGGUGGAACCAGAGCUUGGGGCUGAGGCGCUCCUGGAGUGUUUAGCGCCUCUGCUGUCAGGACAUCCUGUGGCCACUGGCACGCUGUCUGCCCACACAGUGCCCCCGACCAGCAGCGGAGCCACCCACUCUCCACAGCCAGGGUUGGGAGCCCUGGGGCCCGAGUCCCCGGUCCCACGUGCCACACAAGGCAGGACAUUCUGGGUGCUGUCGCAUCCCCGGAAUCAGGGCCUGGACCCUGGUCAGAGCAGGACCUGCAGGUGACCCCGGGUGGGGCAGACUGUCUUCUGUCCUUGGUGGCAAAGCCGGUGUUCUCGGCGUCAUGUCUGCACACGUGUGCCUGAAGCCACGGGAACGCAGGGGCUACCUCUGGGCCUGGGCCUGGACCUGUGGAGCAGGAUCGGGGAGGACACACAGGUGGGCGUCUCAAGAACUGUGGUGUACACAGCUGAGCCCCUGCAGCUCUGCUUUGCCGGGCCUCACCCUCGGUGCUGGGUGCAAGACGUGACAAGAUGGCAUGGGAAGCUUCCCGGGGAACGCUGGAACUGGGUGUUUGAAGGAGGACCUCAUGGCGGCAGCUCCAGCCCAAGUACUGCAACUGUGGGGCCGUGCCAGGAGCAGGUGCUGCGGAGCCUGUGUGGGUCCAGGACAAGAGGAGCACCAGAAGCUCCUGGAGGGCGGUGCAGACGACACUGUCGGGCCGGCCCAGCCCAGGCCCCAGCAGUUGACUCCUCUGUGAUCAGAGGAUGUGGCUGAGGAUGUGCAUUUCCGUCAAGUUCCCAGGAGAACCUGGUGCUGCUGCUUCGGGGACCCCACUUUGAGGACCACUGAUCUAACACUGCCCCUCGUGGCAAACGCGGAAUGACUCAAGAUUCAGCUGGAUGGAUCAUUCAGGGAGCAAAUCCACCCUUGCCGCCUGGCACACCCUGGCCAUUCGCAUCCAUGAAAGUGGCAGCUAACUCCACAGCUUGGAAACAGGAUAACAUCUCAGGCCCUUCACAACUGUUGCUGUUAUCCCACAAAAGAAAUACCAUACGAGGAGGAAGAAAAAACAGAAUGAAACAAGAGAAAACACAGGCGUGCACACACACCACACACUGAAUGGCAUCUGUCCAUCGCUGCCCGUCGUCUGCACAGUCCGAAGCCGUUUGAAGUCCACUACUAUCGAUUUCCCACUUGCGGACUAAAAAGAAACCGAAGGCAGCAUGGGCUCCGUGACGCGGCCCUCAGCUCGAACGCCUGCAUCUCCUGUCUAACAGGACCGUGUGAGACACUGAACUGAAGAUGAUUACAGCCCAUCAUCAAGACCGAUCAAGAUUAACGUGUGCCGGCGGCCGUGGCAAGCGCUUACAAGCACAGCUCGCCUGACCCUCGCGACAGCCUGGGAUGCAGAUGCUGUCGCUAGCUUCGCUUUCUAGAUGAAGUCGUCGGGCUUGGAAAGAUGAGACAAUUUUCUGAGGUCACACAGCUAACACAGAACACUGUGGUCAACACCCAGGCUGUCCAACGCCCAGACCGUGUGCUGAUCCUCCGCACUGCAAGGCCUCCUGAGGCUGGCAUGGGACUUUACUCAAUGUCUCAGAGGAAGAUAACAGAGAAAUCUUGGGAUAUUCUUUGCUACCCACUGACUUUCCUGAUGAUUAGAAAGUAACUUGACA